UACAGAGGGUGCAAACGUUGCUCGGAAUUAUUGGGCGUAAAGCGCACGUAGGCGGUGUGUUAAGUCGGGUGUGAAAGCCCUAGGCUCAACCUAGGAAGUGCACUCGAAACUGGCACGCUUGAGUAUGGAAGAGGGUCGCGGAAUUCCCGGUGUAGAGGUGAAAUUCGUAGAUAUCGGGAGGAACACCAGUGGCGAAGGCGGCGACCUGGGCCAAUACUGACGCUGAGGUGCGAAAGCGUGGGGAGCAAACAGG
rnacentral:rRNA from 1 species